UACAGAGGAGCCAAGCGUUGUCCGGAUUGACUGGGCGUAAAGGGCUCGUAGGCGGUUCGUCACGUCGGGAGUGAAAACUCGGGGCUUAACCCCGAGCCUGCUUCCGAUACGGGCAGACUAGAGGUAGGCAGGGGAGAGCGGAACUCCUGGUGUAGCGGUGGAAUGCGCAGAUAUCAGGAAGAACACCGGUGGCGAAGGCGGCUCUCUGGGCCUUACCUGACGCUGAGGAGCGAAAGCGUGGGUAGCGAACAGG
rnacentral:rRNA from 1 species